rnacentral:rRNA from 1 species
CCUGGCUCAGAUUGAACGCUGGCGGCAUGCCUUACACAUGCAAGUCGAACGGCAGCACGGGAGCUUGCUCCUGGUGGCGAGUGGCGAACGGGUGAGUAAUACAUCGGAACGUACCCAGGAGUGGGGGAUAACGUAGCGAAAGUUACGCUAAUACCGCAUAUUCUGUGAGCAGGAAAGCGGGGGAUCGCAAGACCUCGCGCUCUUGGAGCGGCCGAUGUCGGAUUAGCUAGUUGGUGAGGUAAAAGCUCACCAAGGCGACGAUCCGUAGCAGGUCUGAGAGGAUGAUCUGCCACACUGGGACUGAGACACGGCCCAGACUCCUACGGGAGGCAGCAGUGGGGAAUUUUGGACAAUGGGGGCAACCCUGAUCCAGCCAUGCCGCGUGAGUGAAGAAGGCCUUCGGGUUGUAAAGCUCUUUCGGCGGGGAAGAAAUGGC